rnacentral:lncRNA from 1 species
AAUGGGAAAAUGAUUCAACACAAGUUAGAAACAAAAAAAAAAAAAAAAAAAAUUCAAAAAAGCAUAGAAAUGAUGACAGCUUCAACAAUGUAAAAAAAAGUUGGGACAAUUUCGGCAAGCCCGACCAGUUUAACAGAAUUAACAAUUUUAAUGAUAAAACAAAAGGAAAGGUAAAAUUUGAUUUAAGUAAAAAAGAAGAACACAUUGAUUCGAUACAUGGUGGUAGUGGUAGUGGUAGUGGUAGCACUGGUAGUAGUAGUAGUAGUAGUAGUCAUAGUGAUAAUAAUGUCAGUAGUAUGGAAAUAGUCGGAAAAAAUGGUUGUCGAACUAAUCCUGAUAUAAUACAAAAUGAAAAACGGGAACAAGGUUAUAUGGAAUUUAACUCGAAUAGUAAUUUAUCAAGUAGCUCAUCUUUUAGCACUAAUAAAAACUUAUAUAAAAAUAAUGCUACUACUGCUUGUGCUACAAAAAAAAAAAAUGGUACAAAUAAAAGUGACAGUAAUAGUAGUUAUGGUAAUAACUCCAAACUAAAUAAACAAUAUACUCCCUUUUUCUUUAAUUCUUCGUUUAAUAAUGACAAAAAUGAUAAUAAUUCAGAUACUUCCAAAUUAGAAAAAGAAAAAACGCAAUUGGAUUUAGGUUUUCCUCAAAUAUUUCCUUCUAAUAAUAAAAUAAAAAGUGAUUUGUCCUCUUCGUUUUUUAAUUUUCCGGACGAUAAAAGUGUUCGAACAGGUAGCAACGGGAGUGAUAAAGGUAGCGAGGACAAUGCGUUUUUACGAAAUAGUUUUAAUAAAAACGACUUCUGUCCCAAAACGAAUGAGGAGACAAAGCAGAAAGAGGAGAUAGAGAAGACAGAGGAGAUAGAGAAGACAGAGGAGAUAGAGGAGACAGAGGAGACAAAGGAGAAAGAACAAAAAAGGCAGGCAAAACAACUAAGUACUAAUGUAGAAUUAAAAAAAAGAAACACAAAUGAACAUAAAGACCAUGACCAUGAAAAAAUGGCCGAUGCUAUUCUUAAACACAUAAAAAAAAAAUUAAAAAAAGAGAUGGGUACAUCUUUUAUG